UACGAAGGGGGCUAGCGUUGUUCGGAAUCACUGGGCGUAAAGCGCACGUAGGCGGAUUGUUAAGUCGGGGGUGAAAUCCUGAGGCUCAACCUCAGAACUGCCUUCGAUACUGGCAAUCUCGAGUCCGGAAGAGGUUGGUGGAACAGCUAGUGUAGAGGUGAAAUGCGUAGAUAUUCGCAAGAACACCAGUGGCGAAGGCGGCUCACUGGCUCGGUACUGACGCUGAGGUGCGAAAGCGUGGGGAGCAAACAGG
rnacentral:rRNA from 1 species